CACACACACACAUAUAUAUAGACAUGCACACACACACACACAUACACACACCACCACACACACACACACACCACACUACACCACACCACACCACACACACGCACACACCGCACUGCAGGUUCCUUGGACUCUAUACUCAUAUGUAUGUGUGCGAGCCUGGCUACCUGGUUCAGAUGUGCUGCUGAUUCACUACAUAUUGUUUUCACACACACACACACACCACACACACACCGUACUGCAGGUUCCUUGGACUCUAUACUCAUCUGGGUCAGCCUGGCUACCUGGUUCAGAUGUGCUGCUGAUCCACUACAUAUUGUUUAUAAAGUUUGUCUGUCUGGUGUAAAGUGUGUCUAUCUCACAGAGACACUACUAGCAUGUAGCCAGAUAUAUGAUUCCAUCAUGGCUGAUUUAUGAUUCCAUCAUGGCUGAUUUAUGAUUACAUCAUGGCUGAUUGUUUUUUUCUGGUCAUGAUUAUUAUAAUUCUGUGUGAUUGAUCCCUGUGUGAGUGAUCUCUGUGUGAUGUGAGUAAUCUCUGUGUGAUUGAUCUCUGUCGAAAGCAAAGCAUUUUCUGUUUAUCAUUAACUCUUGCACUUAUUGAGCAGAUUGGAAUAACAUGUAUGUUAUAUGUCUAAAUAAAUCCCUAAUCACUGGGAAAACAAAUGAU